rnacentral:rRNA from 1 species
GACGAACGCUGGCGGCGUGCUUAACACAUGCAAGUCGAACGGUAAGGCCCUGCUUUUGUGGGGUGCUCGAGUGGCGAACGGGUGAGUAAAACGUGAGUAUCCUGCCCUUGACUUUGGGAUAACUUCAGGAAACUGGGGCUAAUACCGGAUAGGAGCUCCUGCUGCAUGGGGGGGGUUGGAAAGUUUCGGCGGUUGGGGAUGGACUCGCGGCGUAUCAGCUUGUUGGUGGGGUAGUGGCUUACCAAGGCUUUGACGGGUAGCCGGCCUGAGAGGGUGACCGGCCACAUUGGGACUGAGAUACGGCCCAGACUCCUACGGGAGGCAGCAGUGGGGAAUAUUGCACAAUGGGCGGAAGCCUGAUGCAGCAACGCCGCGUGCGGGAUGACGGCCUUCGGGUUGUAAACCGCUUUCGCCUGUGACGAAGCGAGAGUGACGGUAAUGGGUAAAGAAGCACCGGCUAACUACGUG